rnacentral:rRNA from 1 species
CAGUAGCCGCGGUAAAACGUAUGUCACAAGCGUUAUCCGGAUUUAUUGGGCGUAAAGCGCGUCUAGGCGGUUAAUUAAGUCUGAUGUGAAAAUGCGGAGCUCAACUCCGUAUUGCGUUGGAAACUGGUUAACUAGAGUACUGGAGAGGUAAGCGGAACAACAAGUGUAGAGGUGAAAUUCGUAGAUAUUUGUGGGGAUGCCGAUGGGGAAGCCAGCUUACUGGACAGAUACUGACGCUAAAGCGCGAAAGCGUGGGUAGCAAACAGGAUUAGAUACCCGCGUAGUCCCUGUCUCUUAUACC